AAGAUAAGAGGGACUUUGUCUCCCUUGUGAGCUCCACAUCAGAGUCCAGGGUGUCUCUGCAAUGGCCUGGCCUCCUGUCCUCCUCCUCCUCCUACUAGCUCAGUACCCAGGCUCCUGGGCACAGACUGGACUGACGCAGGAGGGAUCAGUGUCACGGUCUGUGGGACAGACAGUCACCCUCACCUGCACUGGAACCAGCAGCAAUGUUGGUACCUAUGGCGCAGGAUGGUACCAGCAGAUACCUGGUGCUGCCCCCAAAACUGUGAUGAUAGAAAGUACUCGACCUUCCGGGAUCCCAGAUCGGUUCACGGGGUCCCAAUCUGGAAACAAGGCCUCUCUGACCAUCUCAGGCGUGCAGCCUGAGGAUGAGGCUGAUUAUUACUGUUCUUCAUUUGACUACGAUAUCUACAGUGCCACAGUGCUUCAGACUCGAGGGGAAAUGAGGCAAAAACCCAGCCCUGUUUGA